CCCCGCAAGGGGAGCGGCAGACGGGUGAGUAACGCGUGGGAAUCUACCUUUUGCUACGGAAUAACUCAGGGAAACUUGUGCUAAUACCGUAUGUGCCCUUCGGGGGAAAGAUUUAUCGGCAAAGGAUGAGCCCGCGUUGGAUUAGCUAGUUGGUGGGGUAAAGGCCCACCAAGGCGACGAUCCAUAGCUGGUCUGAGAGGAUGAUCAGCCACACUGGGACUGAGACACGGCCCAGACUCCUACGGGAGGCAGCAGUGGGGAAUAUUGGACAAUGGGCGCAAGCCUGAUCCAGCCAUGCCGCGUGAGUGAUGAAGGCCCUAGGGUUGUAAAGCUCUUUCACCGGUGAAGAUAAUGACGGUAACCGGAGAAGAAGCCCCGGCUAACUUCGUGCCAGCAGCCGCGGUAAUACGAAGGGGGCUAGCGUUGUUCGGAUUUACUGGGCGUAAAGCGCACGUAGGCGGACUUUUAAGUCAGGGGUGAAAUCCCAGAGCUCAACUCUGGAACUGCCUUUGAUACUGGAAGUCUUGAGUAUGGUAGAGGUGAGUGGAAUUCCGAGUGUAGAGGUGAAAUUCGUAGAUAUUCGGAGGAACACCAGUGGCGAAGGCGGCUCACUGGACCAUUACUGACGCUGA
rnacentral:rRNA from 1 species